AACUUUUAAACCUUUGUCGAUUGACUCACGUUGCCUCGGCGGGUUCGCCCGCCAGAGGAUACAUCAAAACUCCUGUUUUAACGGUGUUGUGUGAGCUACAAGCAACGAAUUAAAACUUUCAACAACGGAUCUCUUGGUUCUGGCAUCGAUGAAGAACGCAGCGAAAUGCGAUAAGUAGUGUGAAUUGCAGAAUUCAGUGAAUCAUCGAAUCUUUGAACGCACAUUGCGCCCCUUGGUAUCCCGAGGGGCAUGCCUGUUCGAGCGUCAUUUCACCACUCAAGCCUGGCUUGGUGUUGGGCGACGUCCCCUUUGGGGACGCGCCUCGAAACGCUCGGCGGCGUGGCACCGGCUUUAAGCGUAGCAGAAUCUUUCGCUUUGAAAGUCGGGGCCCCGUCUGCCGGAAGACCUACUCGCAAGGUUGACCUCGGAUCAGGCAGGGAUACCCGCUGAACUUAAGCAUAUCAAUAAGCGGAGGA
rnacentral:rRNA from 1 species